AUACGUGCUCCGGGGUCGGUGUAAGUCCGAACCGGCGGUGAUAGUCCGCGACCCGCGAGCUGGCGCUUUCCCCCUUCAGGGAAGGAACCGGCGGACGGUUGAACUGGUGAAAUUCCGGUACCGACAGUUAAAGUCUGGAUGAGAGAAGCACGUAC
rnacentral:ncRNA from 2 species